CGGUCGUGUGGUGCAGUGGUCAGCAUCUGUGCUGGCUGGUUUGGAGUUCCGCGAGCCCUCGAGACAGCGCCAAACUUGAAGGGAAACCUUCUCAAAUCCCAGUUACAGGACUCCGGUUUGAUUCCGGGCCGACCGU